GCUGGGGCCCAGUGGUAGAGCACUUGCCUAGCAUGUGUGAGGCACUGAGUUCAAUUCUCAGUACGGCA
rnacentral:tRNA from 1 species